ACUGCCCUAGGAGCCAGAGCAUCUGUGGCAUUUCGUUAGUCUUCAGUAAAGAUCUUCAGUGAGUUACCUACCAUGGGAGUCAGGAUAUCAGCAGCCUCCAAAGUCUGUAAAGGUUUGUAUGUUAGGUUGAGAGGAGUCACCUUGUGUAUCCCAUUAUCUUACUGUGGCUGGAAUAUCUGCUAGGAGGCAGACGAGCCCUCCCAGGCAGAUCACCUGCUGAAUUUAACAAACACAUGUGAAUAACAAAGAUUGACCAGAAAUAUUGUCACUUAUAAAAGGAUUCUUUUAUACUAACUGUAGUAACAAUAGCCAUAUAUAAAAGGGAAUCAAACCUUUGGACAGUGCUGUUUCAAUAGAGGCCUUCAAAAAAAUCACUUUCUGUGUGAUGAAAGAGAAAUGCUCAAAAAUCCGUUCAGGAAUACUACAAUUCCUUAUGGAUACCUAAUGAAAAUGUAUUAGAAUUAACUGGAAAUUGAGCAAGUAGCAAAAAAACUGACUGUUACAAAAUAUCCAGUGAUGAAAAGCUCUUCAGGCUUCUGCUUGCCAGCACUGGCAAGUAAGUAGUUUUGCUAAAUAGAAGGAAAGCAGAAGAUAGAGCUAUCAACUGCAAACGAAUGAUUAUAAACCAGAAAGAAAAUGU
ensembl:lncRNA